UACGUAGGGGGCAAGCGUUGUCCGGAAUCAUUGGGCGUAAAGAGCGUGUAGGCGGCCAGAUAAGUCCGCUGUGAAAUCUCGAGGCUCAACUUCGAGCUGUCGGUGGAAACUGUCUGGCUAGAGUCCGGAAGAGGAGAAUGGAAUUCCUGGUGUAGCGGUGAAAUGCGCAGAUAUCAGGAGGAACACCGGUGGCGAAGGCGGCUAUCUGGCCUCAUAUUGACGCUGAGAUGACGAAGCGUGGGGAUCAAACAGG
rnacentral:rRNA from 1 species